rnacentral:rRNA from 1 species
GGAGGGUGCAAGCGUUAAUCGGAAUUACUGGGCGUAAAGCGCACGCAGGCGGUUUGUUAAGUCAGAUGUGAAAUCCCCGGGCUCAACCUGGGAACUGCAUCUGAUACUGGCAAGCUUGAGUCUCGUAGAGGGGGGUAGAAUUCCAGGUGUAGCGGUGAAAUGCGUAGAGAUCUGGAGGAAUACCGGUGGCGAAGGCGGCCCCCUAGACGAAGACUGACGCUCAGGUGCGAAAGCGUGGGGAGCAAACAGGAUUAGAUACCCUGGUAGUCCACGCCGUAAACGAUGUCGACUUGGAGGUUGUGCCCUUGAGGCGUGGCUUCCGGAGCUAACGCGUUAAGUCGACCACCUGGGGAGU